AUUGAACGCUGGCGGCACGAUUUACACAUGCAAGUCGAACGGUAACAGGCCGCAAGGUGCUGACGAGUGGCGAACGGGUGAGUAAUGCAUCGGAACGUGCCCAGUCUUGGGGGAUAACUACUCGAAAGAGUAGCUAAUACCGCAUACGAUCUAUGGAUGAAAGCGGGGGACCGUAAGGCCUCGCGCGAUUGGAGCGGCCGCUGUCAGAUUAGGUAGUUGGUGGGGUAAAGGCUCACCAAGCCAACGAUCUGUAGCUGGUCUGAGAGGACGACCAGCCACACUGGGACUGAGACACGGCCCAGACUCCUACGGGAGGCAGCAGUGGGGAAUUUUGGACAAUGGGCGCAAGCCUGAUCCAGCAAUGCCGCGUGCAGGAAGAAGGCCUUCGGGUUGUAAACUGCUUUUGUACGGAACGAAACGGCUCUGGUUAAUACCCGGAGCUAAUGACGGUACCGGAAGAAUAAGCACCGGCUAACUACGUG
rnacentral:rRNA from 1 species